UACGGGGGGAGCAAGCGUUGUUCGGAUUUACUGGGCGUAAAGGGCGCGUAGGCGGCCUUCUAAGUCGAACGUGAAAUCCCCGGGCUCAACCCGGGAACUGCGUCCGAUACUGGAAGGCUUGAAUCCGGGAGAGGGAUGCGGAAUUCCAGGUGUAGCGGUGAAAUGCGUAGAUAUCUGGAGGAACACCGGUGGCGAAGGCGGCAUCCUGGACCGGUAUUGACGCUGAGGCGCGAAAGCCAGGGGAGCAAACGGG
rnacentral:rRNA from 1 species